rnacentral:snRNA from 1 species
GUGCUCACUUCGGCAGCACAUACAUUAAAAUUGGAACAAUACAGAGAAGAUUAGCAUGGCCCAUGCUCAAGGAUGACACACAAAUUGGUGAAGCGUUCCAUAUUUUU